rnacentral:rRNA from 1 species
ACUCAAAUGAAUUGACGGGGGCCCGCACAAGCGGUGGAGCAUGUGGUUCAAUUCGAAGCAACGCGCAGAACCUUACCAACCCUUGACAUGUCCAGUAUGGGUUUCAGAGAUGAGACCCUUCAGUUCGGCUGGCUGGAACACAGGUGCUGCAUGGCUGUCGUCAGCUCGUGUCGUGAGAUGUUGGGUUAAGUCCCGCAACGAGCGCAACCCUCGCCCUUAGUUGCCAUCAUUUAGUUGGGCACUCUAGGGGGACUGCCGGUGAUAAGCCGCGAGGAAGGUGGGGAUGACGUCAAGUCCUCAUGGCCCUUACGGGUUGGGCUACACACGUGCUACAAUGGCGGUGACAAUGGGAUGCAAAGGGGUGACCCUGUGCAAAUCUCAAAAAGCCGUCUCAGUUCGGACUGGGGUCUGCAACUCGACCCCACGAAGUCGGAAUCGCUAGUAAUCGUGGAUCAGCAUGCCACGGUGAAUACGUUCCCGGGCCUUGUACACACCGCCCGU